rnacentral:rRNA from 1 species
AGUGAACGCUGGCGGUAGGCCUAACACAUGCAAGUCGAACGGCAGCACAGUAAGAGCUUGCUCUUACGGGUGGCGAGUGGCGGACGGGUGAGGAAUACAUCGGAAUCUACUUUUUCGUGGGGGAUGACGUAGGGAAACUUACGCUAAUACCGCAUACGACCUACGGGUGAAAGCAGGGGAUCUUCGGACCUUGCGCGAUUGAAUGAGCCGAUGUCGGAUUAGCUAGUUGGCGGGGUAAAGGCCCACCAAGGCGACGAUCCGUAGCUGGUCUGAGAGGAUGAUCAGCCAUACUGGAACUGAGACACGGUCCAGACUCCUACGGGAGGCAGCAGUGGGGAAUAUUGGACAAUGGGCGCAAGCCUGAUCCAGCCAUACCGCGUGGGUGAAGAAGGCCUUCGGGUUGUAAAGCCCUUUUGUUGGGAAAGAAAAGCAGCAGGUUAAUACCCCGCUGUUCUGACGGUACCCAAAGAAUAAGCACCGGCUAACUUCGUG